rnacentral:rRNA from 1 species
UACGAAGGGGGCUAGCGUUGCUCGGAAUCACUGGGCGUAAAGCGCACGUAGGCGGAUCGUUAAGUCGGGGGUGAAAUCCUGGAGCUCAACUCCAGAACUGCCUCCGAUACUGGCGAUCUUGGAGUCCGGGAGAGGUGAGUGGAACUCCGAGUGUAGAGGUGAAAUUCGUAGAUAUUCGGAAGAACACCAGUGGCGAAGGCGGCUCACUGGCCCGGUACUGACGCUGAGGUGCGAAAGCGUGGGUAGCAAACAGG